rnacentral:rRNA from 1 species
CCCUUAGACGUUCUGGGCCGCACGCGCGCUACACUGACGAAGGCAACGAGCUUUCCUUUACCGAAAGGUACGGGUAAUCUUUUGAAACUUCGUCGUGCUGGGGAUAGAUCCUUGCAAUUUUUGAUCUUAAACGAGGAAUUCCUAGUAAGCGCAAGUCAUCAACUUGCGUUGAUUACGUCCCUGCCCUUUGUACACACCGCCCGUCGCUACUACCGAUUGAAUGGUUUAGUGAGGCCUUCGGAUCCGCGACUCGUUUGUGGAGAAGUUGGACAAACUCAGUCAUUUAGAGGAAGUAAAAGUCGUAACA